CACGAAAGCUAGGGGAGCGAAGCAAGAUUAGAGACCUGCGUAGUCCUAGCCGUAAACGCAUGUCUGCUAGCUGUGCUUUUCUCCCUCCGAAUAGGCGGGGAUUAGGCAUGGCGAAGGUAACCCGUUAAGCAGACCGCCUGGGGAGUACGGGCCGCAAGGCUAAAACUCAAAGGAAUUGGCGGGGAGGCACACAACCAGUGGAACAUGUGGUUCAAUUCGAGACGAACGAAGCACCUCACCAGGGUUUGACAUGCUAUCGUGUACCCGGAAGGAAACUUUUGGGGAUCCGCAAGGAUGGUAGCACAAGGUGCUGCAUGGCUGUCGUCAGCUCGUUCCGUGAGGAGUGCCCUUAAGUGGGACAACGAGCGCAACCCCUAUCCUGUGUUAGAAAUGUCACAGGAGACAGCCCCGACUUAGUCGGGAAGGAAGGAGGGGUAGACGUCAAGUCAGCAUGGUCCUUAUGCCCUGGGCGACACACAUGUUACAAUGGGAAGAACAAUGGGCUUUGCCACACUGUAAGGUGGAGCUAAUCCCUAAAUCUUCCCUCAGUGGGGAUUGAGGUCUGCAACUCGACCUCAUGAACGCGGAAUUGGUAGUAAUCGCGGAUCAGCCAUGCCGCGGUGAAUACGUUCUUGCCUCUUGCACACACCGCCCGUCAAGCCAACAAAGUCGAAGAUGAUUGAACUCCGACUUAACGUCGGAGGAGAUCAUCGUCGGCGAUGGGGGUUAAGUCGUAACAAGGUAAC
rnacentral:rRNA from 1 species